UACGUCCCUGCCCUUUGUACACACCGCCCGUCGCUCCUACCGAUUGAAAGAUAUGAUGAAUUGUUUGGACAAGAAAAGGGAAAAUUAUAUUUUCUUUUUUCUGGAAAAACCGUAAAUCCUAUCUUUUAAAGGAAGGAGAAGUCGUAACAAGGUUUCCGUAGGUGAACCUGCGGAAGGAUCAUUA
rnacentral:rRNA from 1 species